UACAGAGGUGGCAAGCGUUGUUCGGAAUUACUGGGCGUAAAGGGCGCGUAGGCGGCCUUCUAAGUCAGACGUGAAAUCCCCAGGCUUAACUUGGGAACUGCGUCUGAUACUGGAAGGCUUGAGUGCGGGAGAGGGAUGUGGAAUUCCAGGUGUAGCGGUGAAAUGCGUAGAUAUCUGGAGGAACACCGGUGGCGAAGGCGGCAUCCUGGACCGACACUGACGCUGAGGCGGCGAAAGCUAGGGGAGCAAACGGG
rnacentral:rRNA from 1 species